rnacentral:rRNA from 1 species
CCUACGGGUGGCAGCAGUGGGGAAUAUUGCACAAUGGGCGCAAGCCUGAUGCAGCCAUGCCGCGUGUGUGAAGAAGGCCUUCGGGUUGUAAAGCACUUUCAGCGGGGAGGAAGGCGGUGAGGUUAAUAACCUCAUCGAUUGACGUUACCCGCAGAAGAAGCACCGGCUAACUCCGUGCCAGCAGCCGCGGUAAUACGGAGGGUGCAAGCGUUAAUCGGAAUUACUGGGCGUAAAGCGCACGCAGGCGGUCCGUCAAGUCGGAUGUGAAAUCCCCGGGCUCAACCUGGGAACUGCAUUCGAAACUGGCAGGCUAGAGUCUUGUAGAGGGGGGUAGAAUUCCAGGUGUAGCGGUGAAAUGCGUAGAGAUCUGGAGGAAUACCGGUGGCGAAGGCGGCCCCCUGGACAAAGACUGACGCUCAGGUGCGAAAGCGUGGGGAGCAAACAGGAUUAGAUACCCCUGUAGUC